ACGCUCGACACCUACGGGAGCAGCAGUAGGGAAUCUUCCGCAAUGGACGAAAGUCUGACGGAGCAACGCCGCGUGAACGAUGAAGGUUUUCGGAUCGUAAAGUUCUGUUGUUAGGGAAGAACAAACUUCGUUUGAAUAAGGCGGAGUCAUGACGGUACCUAACGAGAAAGCCACGGCUAACUACGUGCCACAGCCGCGGUAAUCUGAGCGGGCUGGCAAGGC
rnacentral:rRNA from 1 species